GAAAGAAGGAAACAAUGCAAUAGUUCUAGCUACCAUUCCUCCAAGGGCGUCGGUGUUCCCCAAAUGUUUCACAGGGCGGUCGGCAAUGGUGAUUCUUUGGCAACGUCUUGAAAAGAGUUGGACGUUAGAAUUGUACACACACAGCAUUAAAGGACGCUCAGUCUCAGAUGCCGUUUCGUAAACGUUUGCCUUGGUUAUGAUUUAGCUGACUUGGCUGGGUCUACUGACAUUGUACCAGAUGUCACUUUUUGAUUGGUCUGUGGCACCACAUUGUGAAAGUGACGUGGUGCCUUUGGGGCAAUGAAUAAUUUCUCCUAUCCAUGGCAUGAUUCGAAAAAAUAAACCUAUAAAUUGAAGCGUUCCAAUGGUACUGAUAUACUUGAGGCCAGCUAAAUUUACAGGCUUUAAUCUCUUUUCUUCCGAAGAGUAAUCAGAAGAAAAAAAAAAAUGGCAUCACUCAAGGCUGACAAACCUUGUUGUCGUGAAACAGCUGCGCAGGCCAAGAAAGAGCCCGCCAAAGCUCCAGCAGUACCUUUGCCCUCCCCUCAGCCCACUAAGAUGGUUGAGCAGAAGCCCCUCGAGCCUAAGAAGAAGGUACCAAGCGUUACCGCUAGCAAGCCAGUUGCCCCAAAGAAGAAAUAAGAAGAACAAGGACGAAUAGUGUUGGGCGUGACUUAUCAUAUUCUAUAUAUGAAGCUAUGUAAACCAAUUCAGUUCUUCUUAUGUUUGUCAAUGUUGUGAGACACUAGCUUGUGAUCCAUAUCUAUGUAGAACCCUCUUUAGGCUCAGCCUAACUAAAUAAAACUUAUUUAAGGAUGAUUUCUCAUUGCCAA